rnacentral:piRNA from 1 species
UUUAAUGAAGUGCUCCUCCCCGGA